UACGAACUGUGCAAACGUUAUUCGGAAUCACUGGGCUUAAAGGGUGCGUAGGCGGUCAUCUAAGUAGGGUGUGAAAGCCCUCGGCUUAACCGAGGAAUUGCGCCCUAAACUGGAUGGCUGGAGUGAGAUAGGGGUGUGCGGAACUUCCGGUGGAGCGGUGAAAUGUGUUGAUAUCGGAAGGAACGCCGGUGGCGAAAGCGGCACACUGGGUCUCAACUGACGCUGAGGCACGAAAGCCAGGGGAGCAAACGGG
rnacentral:rRNA from 1 species